GACGAACGCUGGCGGCGUGCUUAACACAUGCAAGUCGAACGGAAAGGCCCUGCUUUUGUGGGGUGCUCGCGUGGCGAACGGGUGAGUAACACGUGAGUAACCUGCCCUUGACUUUGGGAUAACUUCAGGAAACUGGGGCUAAUACCGGAUAGGAGCUCCUGCUGCAUGGUGGGGGUUGGAAAGUUUCGGCGGUUGGGGAUGGACUCGCGGCUUAUCAGCUUGUUGGUGGGGUAGUGGCUUACCAAGGCUUUGACGGGUAGCCGGCUUGAGAGGGUGACCGGCCACAAUAGGACUGAGAGACGGCCCAGACUCCUACGUGAGGCAGCGGUGGGGAAUAUGGCACAAUGGGCGGAAGCCUGAUGCAGCAACGCCGCGAUCGGGAUGACGGCCUUCGGGUUGUAAACCGCUGUCGCCUGUUACGAAGCGUGAGUGACGGUAAUGGGUAAAGAAGCACCGGCUAACUACGUG
rnacentral:rRNA from 1 species